UGUUUAUUAUGACAGUAUCUGAGGUCCAAUUUCUAUCAUAACAGACAACCAGUCAAAAAGUCUAGGAACCAGUCACAGAGUGAGGGAAGUACAAUCAGUUUUUGGGUGAGUUUGUGAGGGAUGACCGUACUGAAGGCGGAGCUAUAUUAUAAACUUAUAUAAAGUUAUAAGUGUCCUUAUCUUCCAGGUGAGAAAGGGAAAUAUGGAGGGCAGCAGCAAUGGCAUCUGAGGUGGACCUGUUGGGCUGAUAUGCAUACUGCAGUGGGUCCAGUAUGUCCGGCAUACUGCUCUGAAUAUGGGUCAGCACCACUCUCUCAAAACACUUCAUAAUGAUCAGAGUGAGUGGUACUGGCCUGUAGUAGUUCAGGCAAGUCGGGGGGCUCUUUUUGGGAAGGGGGACAAUGUUUGUGGUCUUGAAGCAGGUGGGGAUAAUGCUCUGACUGAGGGAUAGGUUGAAGAUGGAAGUGAGUACAUCAGCCAGCUCCAUAGCACAAGCUCUGAGGGCCCGUCCAGGGAUGUUGUCUGGCCCUGCUGCUUUGCGGUGGUUGAUUUUCCUCAGCUGUUUGUGUACCACAGCUGAUGAGGCAAUAGGAGGGGGUGGGGGGGGGGGGGGGGGGGGGGGGGGGGGGGGGGGGGGGGGGGGGGGGGGGGGGGGGGGGGGGGGGGGGGGGGGGGGGGGGGGGGGGGGGGGGGGGGGGGGGGGGGGGGGGGGGGGGGGGGGGGGGGGGGGGGGGGGGGGGGGGGGGGGGGGGGGGGGGGGGGGGGGGGGGGGGGGGGGGGGGGGGGGGGGGGGGGGGGGGGGGGGGGGGGGGGGGGGGGGGGGGGGGGGGGGGGGGGGGGGGGGGGGGGGGGGGGGGGGGGGGGGGGGGGGGGGGGGGGGGGGGGGGGGGGGGGGGGGGGGGGGGGGGGGGGGGGGGGGGGGGGGGGGGGGGGGGGGGGGGGGGGGGGGGGGGGGGGGGGGGGGGGGGGGGGGGGGGGGGGGGGGGGGGGGGGGGGGGGGGGGGGGGGGGGGGGGGGGGGGGGGGGGGGGGGGGGGGGGGGGGGGGGGGGGGGGGGGGGGGGGGGGGGGGGGGGGGGGGGGGGGGGGGGGGGGGGGGGGGGGGGGGGGGGGGGGGGGGGGGGGGGGGGGGGGGGGGGGGGGGGGGGGGGGGGGGGGGGGGGGGGGGGGGGGGGGGGGGGGGGGGGGGGGGGGGGGGGGGGGGGGGGGGGGGGGGGGGGGGGGGGGGGGGGGGGGGGGGGGGGGGGGGGGGGGGGGGGGGGGGGGGGGGGGGGGGGGGGGGGGGGGGGGGGGGGGGGGGGGGGGGGGGGGGGGGGGGGGGGGGGGGGGGGGGGGGGGGGGGGGGGGGGGGGGGGGGGGGGGGGGGGGGGGGGGGGGGGGGGGGGGGGGGGGGGGGGGGGGGGGGGGGGGGGGGGGGGGGGGGGGGGGGGGGGGGGGGGGGGGGGGGGGGGGGGGGGGGGGGGGGGGGGGGGGGGGGGGGGGGGGGGGGGGGGGGGGGGGGGGGGGGGGGGGGGGGGGGGGGGGGGGGGGGGGGGGGGGGGGGGGGGGGGGGGGGGGGGGGGGGGGGGGGGGGGGGGGGGGGGGGGGGGGGGGGGGGGGGGGGGGGGGGGGGGGGGGGGGGGGGGGGGGGGGGGGGGGGGGGGGGGGGGGGGGGGGGGGGGGGGGGGGGGGGGGGGGGGGGGGGGGGGGGGGGGGGGGGGGGGGGGGGGGGGGGGGGGGGGGGGGGGGGGGGGGGGGGGGGGGGGGGGGGGGGGGGGGGGGGGGGGGGGGGGGGGGGGGGGGGGGGGGGGGGGGGGGGGGGGGGGGGGGGGGGGGGGGGGGGGGGGGGGGGGGGGGGGGGGGGGGGGGGGGGGGGGGGGGGGGGGGGGGGGGGGGGGGGGGGGGGGGGGGGGGGGGGGGGGGGGGGGGGGGGGGGGGGGGGGGGGGGGGGGGGGGGGGGGGGGGGGGGGGGGGGGGGGGGGGGGGGGGGGGGGGGGGGGGGGGGGGGGGGGGGGGGGGGGGGGGGGGGGGGGGGGGGGGGGGGGGGGGGGGGGGGGGGGGGGGGGGGGGGGGGGGGGGGGGGGGGGGGGGGGGGGGGGGGGGGGGGGGGGGGGGGGGGGGGGGGGGGGGGGGGGGGGGGGGGGGGGGGGGGGGGGGGGGGGGGGGGGGGGGGGGGGGGGGGGGGGGGGGGGGGGGGGGGGGGGGGGGGGGGGGGGGGGGGGGGGGGGGGGGGGGGGGGGGGGGGGGGGGGGGGGGGGGGGGGGGGGGGGGGGGGGGGGGGGGGGGGGGGGGGGGGGGGGGGGGGGGGGGGGGGGGGGGGGGGGGGGGGGGGGGGGGGGGGGGGGGGGGGGGGGGGGGGGGGGGGGGGGGGGGGGGGGGGGGGGGGGGGGGGGGGGGGGGGGGGGGGGGGGGGGGGGGGGGGGGGGGGGGGGGGGGGGGGGGGGGGGGGGGGGGGGGGGGGGGGGGGGGGGGGGGGGGGGGGGGGGGACAGGGCUCUCCCUUCCGGUGCAGCAGAGCCACAGCUCCCUUCGGUCACAGUGAGAGCCCUCCAUCCAUCGCUUCGAGCCCCAUUUGCUUUUUCCGCAUCAGACAGGGCUCUCCCUUCCGGUGCAGCAGAGCCGCAGCUCCCUUCGG
rnacentral:lncRNA from 12 species